rnacentral:rRNA from 1 species
UGGGGAAUUUUGUACAAUGGGGGAAACCCUGAUCCAGCCAUCCCGCGUGUGCGAUGAAGGCCUUCGGGUUGUAAAGCACUUUUGGCAGGAAAGAAACGUCAUGGGUUAAUACCCCGUGAAACUGACGGUACCUGCAGAAUAAGCACCGGCUAACUACGUGCCAGCAGCCGCGGUAAUACGUAGGGUGCAAGCGUUAAUCGGAAUUACUGGGCGUAAAGCGUGCGCAGGCGGUUCGGAAAGAAAGAUGUGAAAUCCCAGAGCUCAACUUUGGAACUGCAUUUUUAACUACCGGGCUAGAGUGUGUCAGAGGGAGGUGGAAGUCCGCGUGUAGCAGUGAAAUGCGUAGAUAUGCGGAGGAACACCGAUGGCGAAGGCAGCCUCCUGGGAUAACACUGACGCUCAUGCACGAAAGCGUGGGGAGCAAACAGG